UAUUAUUAGUAGAUAGAAAACACUCUGAAGUUUCUAAAACUGUUUGAAGGAUGUCUGUGAGUAUAAUAAAACUUAUUUGGCAGGCGAAACCCAGAGUACAAACAAUCCAGGGAAAAACAUUUUUGAGGUCACUCUCUUUUCACUGUGUUUUCAAUGGAAAUCUAGAAUUCUGAGGUAGUUGCUUGCCGUUCUUAUUGCUUCCACUAGAUGUCAACAGUCUUUAAAAAUUGGUUGAUGUUUUUCCUUUGAGAAAUAGAGAAGUAGGGCUGUCCAGAACAAGGGUCGAGUGAUGUGUACUGUUGUGGUUGAGGCGCGCGACCUGAAAGCACGCUACACUUUGUUUUCCUCCGUUAUUGAACACAGUUUAUUCUGUCUUAAAUUUGAUCGAUUAUUUACAUUUAAAAAUACCUAAAGUCGGAUUAUGAAAGUUGUUUGAAAUGUUUGGAUCAAGUUUACAGGUAACUAAUUAGAUAAUUUAAAGUCAUGUUGCGGGAUUUGGAACCGGUGUAUUUUCUGAAUCAUACGUGCCAAAUAAGUUGACAUUUUGGAUAUAUAACGACAGAAUAUAUCGAACAACAGGACCAUUUAUGAUGUUUAAUGGACAUAUUGGUGUGCCAACAGAAGAAGAUCUUCAAAGGUAAGGCAUGCAUUAUAUGUUAUUUCUGACUUUUGUGUUGUGCCUGGCAGGUUCAAUUAUGAUUUUCAUGUGUAUGUUUGAUGGGUUGCUAUCCUCAGAUAAUAGCAUGGUUUGCUUUCGCCGUAAAGCCUUUUUUGAAAUCUGACACUGGCUGGAUUAACAAGAAGUUCAUCUUUAAACCCAUGUGUAACACUUGUAUGAUUUAUUAAUUAUUAUUAUGAGUAUUUCUGUUUUUGAAUUUGGCGCACUGCUAUUUCACUGGGUGUUGUUAACAGAAUUGGCGCGGGAAGGGAUCACUAAGAAGUUAAUGCAUUUGAGCCAAUCAGUUGUGUUGUGACAAGGUAAGGGUGGUUUACAGAAGAUAGCCCUAUUAUGUCAAGAACAGCUCAAAUAAGCAAAGAGAAAUGACAGUCGAUCAUUACCUUAACACAUGAAGGGGGUCAAUCCAGAAAAUUUCAAGAACUUUGAAAGUGCAGUUGCUAAAACCAUAAGGCGCUAUGAUGUAACUGGCUCCAUGAGGACCGCUUCUGCUGCAGAGGAUACGUUCAUUAGAGUUACCAGCCUCAGAAAUAGCAUCCCAAAUAAAUUAUUCACAGAGUUCAAGUAACAGACACAUCUCAACAUCAACUGUUCAGAGGAGACUGCGUGAAUCAGGCCUUCAUGUUCGAAUUGCUGCCAAGAAACCACUACUAAAGGACACCAAUAAGAAGAAGAGACUUGCUUGGGCCAAGAAACACGAGCAAUGGACAUUAGACCGGUGGAGGAACAAGUUAGUGCUCUGGUAUUGUGCCUGGGCGAUCAUUCACAAGCUCCACCACAGUCUGGACCUUGACUUCCUGAUCACAGGCCACACGAAGUUUGCUCCCAACUGGUUCUUCGGCCUCAUCAAGCAGCACGUCAGAAAGACCAGAGUGAACACUUUUUCCGAGAUUGCUGGUGUUGUGAAGGACAGCUCUGUGACUGGUCAACAUCCCACCACUGGUUGGACUGGAGGAUGGUACGGUGCUGGUGGAAAGCUAUGGCUGGCAACAACACCUGACUCCGUACUUCAGGCCGCUGCCACAGAUCAGUACCAGCACUUCAGCUUCGAUGCUCUUGAGCCUGGUGUUGUUGUCGCCAAUGAGUAUUCGGACUCAGUUGGGACCAGGUUUCAGAUGCUGCGCAACGGUGACAUCCUUCCUCCCAUAGAUGGGGAUGGGAGUAUUAAACUGCUCUUCUUUUGGGGCGGCAGCUGAAAGGUUGCUAGAUCGAAUCCCCGAGCUGACAAGAUGCUGCCAGUGGCUUGUGGCUAUUAAGAAUGAUGCACCUUACGGUGAAAAAAAAAUACCAGAGGGAUUUUAGGCUGAACUGAGGGGGAAUCCAUUUCGACUCCAGUUGAGAGGUUUUCUUUCACAACAAAUGGAAGAUUCUCGAUUAGAGGUGAAUCCACAGAAUCCACCAACAUGCGCUUUCAACCCUUAGCUCUGCACAAGUUGAAGGUUAUUUGACCCCAAAGCGGUGGCAUUUUGGGUACACAAGCAUGAGGGACCGGACACACCUUGCGGUUAUAGAGCACAACAAGAUUGUGGGACAGAAACCAGCAACGGACACUGAAAGGAGACGUGUAGUACCAGCAAAUAUUCUGCAAGAGGACCAAACAUUUGGUGGUUAAGAAGCUCUACACCACUUUCUGCAAAGUCUUAUCCAGCUGGGCAUUAACCAUAGACAGGACAAGACCAAUCGCCAUAAGCACAAAGAGUCUCAGCUUCGCCAGCCCACCAUGCUGAACAUCAUUGCCAAUGUACCAAAGCUGGAUAUAGGACUAUGUCUGCGUUUACACAUGCAGCACAAUUCUGAUAUUUUUUUGUUAACUAAUUGGUAUUUCCACCAAACAGAUUGGUUCUGAAAAAGAUCUGAUGUGAUUAAGACCAAUUAGUGGAAAAAAUAUCAGAAUUGGGCUGCCUGUGUCUCAAAAUAAGUCCAUGUAGAACAGGGGUUUCCAACCCUGUUUCUGGAGAGCUACCCUCCUGUAGGUUUUCACUCCAACCCCAGUUGUAAUGCACCUGGAUCAGCUUAUCAACCAGCUAAUUAUUAGAGUCAGGUGUGCUAGAUUAGGAUUGGAGUGAACCUACAGUACGGUAUCUCUCCAGAAACAGGGUUGAAGAGCUCUGAUAUAGAACCACAAAAUAAAUAUGGAUAUUUUCUAUCAAUCUUCGAAAUGUGUCUGCCUUUAUGGAUUUAAAGAAUAAAUGUAUAUAAACUGUACAGGGCCCUGUAGCAUCAAACAUAUGCUAGACAUUCAGAAAUCUAAAUGUUUAUUUGUGAAAAAUCUCAAAUACAGGGGAGUGUACACUAUUUACUACUAACUCAAGAAAACUGGUUAUUCAACAAGAAUGUUAUAUGGUAAAAGUAACAUACCCACAAAAAUGUAUGAACAGUGUAGUACUGUUCAGUGUUUUUCAGGGGUAGAGACACACAAGUCCAGAGAACUGUAGCUAUAGAUUGUUACACCAGAUAAUUUGAUUUACCCAAAUAUUUUUGCCGAUAUCUUGUCUAUUUCAAGUCUUCUCUCAUUGAUCGAGACAGGUCUCUGUCAUCAUGACAUGCAGAACUUUGGGGUGAACACCCAGCUGUCUCCAAUGAGGUGUCCGCCCAAGUUCUGCAUUUCAUGAUGACAGAGCCCUGUUUUCGAUCAAUGAGAAAAGACUUAAAAUAGACAAGAUGGUGGCGUACACAUGGUUGGAUUACUCCAUGUAGUAAAAAUAAUUUAUUUUAAUAAAGGAGAAUUUUCUCAAUUCAAACGGACCCCCUGCAAUUGGACACAGACAUUUUAUGAGACUCCUGUUUCCCCCAAAUCGAGGUCAAAAAUGGCAUCGCUAAGGCUGGUAGAAAAUUCUGUGCUACACCAAACAGUACCUAUCCUGUAACUCCCAGUGAUGGAUAACAAAAAUAUUUGGUUAAAUCAUAUAAUCUGGUGUAACAAUCUGUAGUUAAGAGAACUGAUGGUCAUGAUGAAAUUGCCAUUCACAAAGAAACAUACAUCAUUAAGAAAAUACAGCAUGAUCAGUGUACUAAAGUUCAGGGAAUGCUUGUAAAGCUGUGGGAGUGUUAUCAUGAUAAAACUGCCAUUCAGCCCCUCAUGAGUCAUCUGCUUGAAAUCCAGCAUAGUCUAGAAGGGAUAGAGUUCACAGGAUACAUUUCUGCUACAAUUACACACGCAUGCAAAGGGUUUAUGUUUCUGUAUCUAGAAUCCACUCCAGGAAGAAAUCCAGGCACAA